GGAAACAACCUCUCUACUCCCUCGGGGUAGGGGUAAGGUCUGCGUACUCAUUACCCUCCCCAAACCCCACUUGUGAGAUUUCACUGGGUUGUUGUUGUAGAGGUUGGUGUGGAUUCCUCUCGAGGUGAGGGUCUUUCGGAAGGUCUGCGUACACAUUACCUUCCCCAGAUCUCACUUGUUGGAUUCCACUGGGUUAUUGUUGUUGUUAGGCUCGUGUGGAUCAUCUAUCUUACCUGAUAAAAAAAAAAAAAAAAGAGGUUGGUGUGCAUGAAUUCUUGUUUUACCAAGUCUUUUGGGGGUGAUGUUUUAUUUUGUAGAACUUGUGUAGACAUUUUCUGGUGUUUGUGAACAUGGUUGAAGGAGGCAUACCAUAUUGUGCA